AAGAGAGACUAUAAAGGUUACUCAUUUGGGGCUAUCUUCCUCUUGACACGCAACGGCUCAGCGCUUGCGGCCGCGAAGCUACGACGACGAGCGCCGGCAACUCCGGCGCCGACCAUGGCGGCGCGCCUCCUCCGCCACCUCAAUCCUAGCACCAGCUUGUUAAUGAAAGAAAAGUCAUGUGGGAUAUCUGUAUUUGGUGUCCUUGGUCGCUGCUUGUCACAAUUCUCGGAGGAUGAAAAAGCGGGGAAUGCUAAGUUGAGCUCAGGGAAUGACAAUUCCUCAACUGUUGGGAAACAUUAUGAUUCAGAACUUUGUAAGGAUAGCUCUGAUGAUGAGGAUUUUAGCAGAAAAAAGUGGAAGUUGGAACUUGCUUGGCUCUCUAAAGCUCUAGAACCGGCACUUCAAGUGUAUAAAUGGGCUUUAACUAAAGGAAGUGCUGAACAAGAGAUGAUACCUCCCAGCAGUAGAUCACUAGCUGAUAUUCUUUCUAAUCUUCAAUUGAGUAAGGCAGGCAUCCUGGAUUGGAGCCUUAGUGACCUUACAAUUGGUUUGUAUCUUAUUUACCUCAGCCAAGCGUCUGCAGUUAAGGUUGAUGACUUUAAAGGUGUGCAGAUCCUCACAGAUCAUGUGGUUCAAGAUCUAAUUUAUCAUGUUGAAUUGGCAAAGGGGUCUUAUAAAGAUAAUGCAACUGGUCUGGCUAGACGUAGUAUGCUUCUAGAAAGAAACAUCUUGAAAUUUGUCAGGAAUUCCAGUGUUUUAAGGCCUGGAUAUUACAUAGGGAUCGACACCCGUAAUAAGUUGGUCAUUCUUGGAAUUCGUGGAACCGAUACUGUCUAUGACCUUAUCACCGAUGUGGUUACUUUGAGUGACCAAGAAGUAUCUUUUGAGGGCUUCUCAACCCACUUUGGAACCACUGAGGCUGCCCGUUGGUUUCUUCGCCAUGAGCUAGGGACUAUCAGGAAGUGCUUGGAGAAACAUAAAAACUUCAAGUUGAGGUUAGUUGGGCAUUCCCUAGGAGGUGCGGCAGCUGCCUUGCUGGCCAUAAUGCUUCGAAAGAAGUCUGCUGAGGAGUUGGGUUUUGAUCCUGAAAUUGUCUCUGCAGUUGGGUUUGGAACACCACCUUGUGUGUCAGAAGAUCUUGCUGGAAGCUGUUCCAGCUAUGUCUCCACCGUUAUAUUGCAGGAUGAUAUAAUUCCUCGGUUAAGCACUGCUUCCCUAGCAAAACUUCGGAAUGAAAUUCUUGAAACUGAUUGGAUGAGUGUUUUGGAGAAGGACGAUUGGAAGAGAAUUGUAGAUUUAGUUACAAAUGCUAAGCAAGUUGUGUCUUCGGUUCAAGAAGUUGCUCGCAAGCUUGCUGAUUAUGCCGCAAACAUAUCAAAUGCCUCAGGGGGCUUGUCUGCUAAAGGGAAGGUAUAUUCAUUGAAUAAAGCACUGCUAGAGAGGUAUAUCCGUUGUGUAGGAAUGUGCAAGCAUUUGUUCUCCUUUUAUUGAGGAGGAUACUCUCGGCAUCCAUAAGGAAUAAUGCGGGAUUCAAGUUUAUAUUUGAUGUGAGGACAAAGCUCAGGAAAACACAAACAUCCAUACACCUUAAGAUCUGUAUGGGAUGGGCGAUGUUUGAAUAGUAAGUCCAAGGGUGAAGAGGUCGUAUUGCUUAGACUAGGAACACAGUUAGUUUGGUAGAUUGCAAUACGAAAGGAUGUAUUCAAAUACUUGGUGGGCGUUGAGCUGUAGGUAAGAAGUGAUAGGCUGAUUUCAACAAUGUGCUUAUUCUUUAUCUCAACCAUAUCAUUUUGCUGUGAGCUGUAGCAACAAGAGAUAUGAUGUGCAAUUCCCUGAUAAGCUGGAAAAUAUUUAAAUUGAGUUCUUAAAAGGUGAAGGCCACCAAAUUUUGAUGAAUGUGGAGAAUAGAUUUUCAACCUCAAGCUUAAAAUUUUGGCAAAUUUUGAAAAAAGAACUCAAUUUGAUUGCAUAAAAUAAAUCUAUGUGAAAUACACUAAGCAUCGACAUAUACAACAGGGGCAGUUUCCCAUUUGUCAAUAGAAAUGGUUUUAAGAGAGAAAUCCACCUUUAGUGAAUUAUACGAGAAUGAGAAAGAUUUUAUCUUUCCAUGUUGACAUGAAGAGCAAACAUAAUCAAUCAGAUUUAUUUUAGGGGUAGAAAUGAAGCUAGUGGUCAAGCCAAGUAGAAAAGGAUCACAUAUGAGUUGGUGCCAAACAGCAAUUGAAUCCUUUUGAGGAAGAACACGUUUUGGAGAGGGGUGAUGAGAAUUUAAUGCAUGGUUGUUGAAUUGUGUUUGUAAACAUUGUUUAGAAGUUUAAUUUUGAGUUAGAGUAAAUAUAAAAUCUUGCCUUUAGUUUUUGGCUGUGACAACUUGGAUACAAAUUACUCAACAAUACACAAUUCACAACUUUAAAUUGCCAAUAGAUAUAGCAAGGUUGCAAAGCCCAAAAAGAAGAGAUAUACUCUAUACAUUUACUCAAACAUAACACUAAAAUCAGUAUUUUGGGAUUAACAAAACAUACAUUUAUCACACACCUAGACAUUGUCAAGUAAUGUUGUGUGCUCUUGUCCAUGUUUAAUAUUUCAAUUUGGUCAUGUCACCAUCUUUUUUUUUUGAGGAAGAAGAGCAGGGCGAACCCACUAGAGACCCCAGGGGCGUGCACAAGCCUCGAUGACUCGAGAAGAAACAAGUCUGUUCAUCCAUCAAAACCAAUUGCAGGGUCCAAUAACAUCGUAAAACAAGACGGAGCCAUGCCAGUGGAGCUCUUCACUCCUGGGAU